rnacentral:lncRNA from 1 species
CCGUUGACCCCAACGUUAUUCUGAGAUCCAAUCGGACCGAUGGGACCAAACCCGAUGUUGGCGUUGCUGGUGGCUCCGAUUUUCCACCCAUCGUUGCUGAAAGAGUUGAAAUCGGUUACCUUCGGCUUCAAGCUGUUGACGGAGUUCAGUUCGCCGCCUACUCUGAUAUCAAAAUUCCUCCUCUCGUCAGGCCUCUUCGAAACGUAACCACUGCUCCAUAUCGAAUCGUUGAGCGAAAGGUUCGCCAAGUUGGAAUUUUGGACCCUAAGUUGAUCACUGAAUUGCCAAAAGGAUUGCUGGUUGUUCUCCAUCUCCGACUCCAAUUCAACUCCCUUUCAAUAAAAAAAUGGGAUAUGGGUUUCAAA